UUUGAGGAGCCCAUUGUGUUCCUAGACAUUAUCUCUGUAGGAAACUUCUGCACAUGAGCAGCUCUGAUGCACUGGUGUGGUUUGCACUGCCCAGCUCUUAGCAACCUUAUGUUCAAGGUGACAGUGAAAGGCACCUCAUCUCCCUCCUGUCAUCACAGAGACCAACCCUGGUGCAUUGUGGGAGAAGACUACACAAAGAUGUGAAUAUCAGAAGGUAACUGUCUGCAAGGACCUUCUCAUAAAUUUCGCUCAGAGAGGAGGCCUUCUGUGAAGUUGCCAUUAGACAUUGUCAUUCAUCUGUGGAGACUGAGGGCCAGAUAGUUUCAGCUGUGUCUGAAUUGAAUGGCGCCAGCACUCAUCUUUCCUGACAGUGGCUGAACCAGAGGAGCAUUGACAUUUUUCAUGAUGAUAGCUGGAUAUAAAUACUUGGAUCAUCCUGGAGACUCCACUGUCCAGCCCAGUAUUUCUCUUUAGCCAGUUCCUUCUCCUGCUAUAUUUGGCUGCAGCCCAUUGUGGAAAACUCUGAUGUCGAACUCCUAUGGCUGUAUAAACACCAGAGCUUAGUUCAGGGAGUCCCUCAGAUUGCCAACAAGUAUGAACUGAAUGAUGACACUGUUCGAAAUGCCUUCCUUGCUAUUCUCCUGCAUGACCAAGUAUCCUGGCUUUUUAGAUGCAGCCAUUAAACAUUAAGUUCUGGACGCUGGGAAAUCCAAGAUCAUGACGUUGGCAGGUCUGAUGCCUGGUGAGAGCCCACUUCCUCAUUGAUGACUGUCUUCUCACUGUAAUCUCCCAUGGCAGAAGGGGCAAGCCAGCUCUCUGAGGCCUCCUUUAUAAGGGAACCAAUUCCAACUAAUCACCUCUCAAGUGCACAGAUUACUAAGCGCACUUUGGAACCAUGGAGGAAGGUGGCUGAGUGUCUCUGCCACGUGGGAAAGUGAACCACAGGGAUGGCCUUGGGCUACUGGAACCACUUUGCCCAGACACAGAGGGCUGGAGGUGCCUGGGUGGUUAGCAUUGCUGUUCCUACCCCUAACUCCAGCCGGCGGCGUCACGGAACCAGGACCAGUGACUGACAGGUAUGAAUGUGAAAGUUCAUCUGCCUUGACUCAAGUUGAGACAGUUGAGGCUUUAUUUGUGUGAGCCAGACCUCCACUGAUCAGGCCCAGGCUGGGAGUUCACCUGAGGUCACACCCUUGUUUGUU